rnacentral:rRNA from 1 species
UACGUAGGGUGCAAGCGUUGUCCGGAAUUAUUGGGCGUAAAGAGCGUGUAGGCGGCCCGGUUAGUCCGCUGUGAAAGUCCAGGGCUCAACCCUGGAAUGCCGGUGGAUACUGUCGGGCUAGAGUCCGGAAGGGGCGAGUGGAAUUCCUGGUGUAGCGGUGAAAUGCGCAGAUAUCAGGAGGAACACCGAUGGCGAAGGCAGCUCGCUGGGACGGUACUGACGCUGAGACGCGAAAGCGUGGGGAGCGAACAGG